rnacentral:tRNA from 2 species
GGAGGUUGUCCGGCAUGGACGAGGAAAGCGUCUUGAAAACGCCUGCGGGUGAGACCGUCAAGAGUUCGAUUCUCUUAGCCUCCGCCA